AGAGCUGUGGCUCAGUGGUAUAGCAUCUGCUUUGCAUGUGAACGCGGUCCCAAGUUCAAUUCUUGGCAUCUCUG